CAAUCAAUUGUCUUUUAAAUGAAGACCUGUAUGAAUGGCAUAACGAAGGCUUAACUGUCUCCUUUUCUAAGUCAAUGAAAUUGAUCUCCCCGUGCAGAAGCGGGGAUAGUAACAUAAGACGAGAAGACCCUAUGGAGCUUUAGACGAAAACAGACCUUGUUAAAUACCCCUACUAAAGGAUUAAACCAAAUUGACCCUGUUUGAAUGUCUUUGGUUGGGGCGACCGCGGGGAAAUAAAGAACCCCCAUGAGGACUGGAAACACUUUUCCACAGCUAAGAGCUCCCGCUCUAAGAAACAGAAUAUCUGACCAUAAGAUCCGGCAAUGCCGAACAACGAACCGAGUUACCCUAGGGAUAACAGCGCAAUCCCCUUUAAGAGCCCA
rnacentral:rRNA from 1 species